rnacentral:rRNA from 1 species
UACAUAGGGUGCAAGCGUUGUCCGGAAUUAUUGGGCGUAAAGAGCUCGUAGGUGGUCGAUCACGUCGGAUGUGAAAUUCUGAGGCUUAACCUCGGACCUGCAUUCGAUACGGGUUGACUAGAGUGUGGUAGGGGAGACUGGAAUUCCUGGUGUAGCGGUGGAAUGCGCAGAUAUCAGGAGGAACACCGAUGGCGAAGGCAGGUCUCUGGGCCAUUACUGACACUGAGGAGCGAAAGCGUGGGGAGCGAACAGGAUUAGAUACCCGGGUAGU